rnacentral:RNase_P_RNA from 10 species
UUCCCUCCAAAGUCUGUAUUUUACCUGCCUACAAAAGGAGGAGUCCCCGGCGGACUUCCUCAGUAUUCGCAGGUGGGAAAUUCGGUGAAAUCGCUCUGCCCACCAGGGAAAAGGUAAAACUCUCCCUGGUCCUUGGAAGGACUUGUCCUUCUGAGUCUCGUGAGAGAUGCCAAGCGUGGAGACGCUAGGGUGGUCGCCAUAAGAAACUUCAACAGGUCACACUGUUAUGGGAGGCGCCACGGGCAGUUGGUCCCUUUGCAUCCAGAAGGAAGCUUUGGGGCUGUUGAGUGCAAUAUACAGAGCGCUAGAAGGAGUCCUUCCUUCUACGCGUAA